UGGGGAAUCUUGCGCAAUGGGCGAAAGCCUGACGCAGCAACGCCGCGUGGGGGAAGAAGGCCUUCGGGUUGUAAACCUCUUUCAGGAGGGACGAAGCUUCGGCGGUGAACAGCCGUCUGGAGUGACGGUACCUCCAGAAGAAGCCCCGGCUAACUACGUGCCAGCAGCCGCGGUAAUACGUAGGGGGCUAGCGUUGUCCGGAAUCAUUGGGCGUAAAGCGCGCGUAGGCGGCCAUAUAAGUCCGGUGUAAAAGUCACAGGCUUAACCUGUGAAUGCCGCUGGAAACUGUGUGGCUCGAGUCCGGGAGGGGCGAGUGGAAUUCCUGGUGUAGCGGUGAAAUGCGCAGAUAUCAGGAGGAACACCAAUGGCGAAGGCAGCUCGCUGGAACGGUACUGACGCUGAGGCGCGAAAGCGUGGGGAGCGAACAG
rnacentral:rRNA from 1 species